rnacentral:snRNA from 1 species
AAGUGUUAUAGCUCUUUUGGAAUUUAUCCAGCAGGUUUUCCAGUUUUCACCCCU